UCAAAUCAGGUAGGACUACCCGCCGAACUUAAGCAUAUCUCGGAAGAGAGAGAGAGGGGGUUGUAUAUGGAGACUUGCGGCGCGGGAGAUAUCUCUCUCGUCGCUCGCGUCCACAAGCGCAACAGG
rnacentral:rRNA from 1 species